UGGGGAAUUUUGGACAAUGGGCGAAAGCCUGAUCCAGCAAUGCCGCGUGUGUGAAGAAGGCCUUCGGGUUGUAAAGCACUUUUGUCCGGAAAGAAAUCCUUGGCUCUAAUACAGUCGGGGGAUGACGGUACCGGAAGAAUAAGCACCGGCUAACUACGUGCCAGCAGCCGCGGUAAUACGUAGGGUGCAAGCGUUAAUCGGAAUUACUGGGCGUAAAGCGUGCGCAGGCGGUUUGCUAAGACCGAUGUGAAAUCCCCGGGCUCAACCUGGGAACUGCAUUGGUGACUGGCAGGCUAGAGUAUGGCAGAGGGGGGUAGAAUUCCACGUGUAGCAGUGAAAUGCGUAGAGAUGUGGAGGAAUACCGAUGGCGAAGGCAGCCCCCUGGGCCAAUACUGACGCUCAUGCACGAAAGCGUGGGGAGCAAACAGGAUUAGAUACCCUGGUAGUCCACGCCCUAAACGAUGUCAACUAGUUGUUGGGGAUUCAUUUCCUUAGUAACUAGCUAACGCGUGAAGUUGACCGCCUGGGGAGUACGGUCGCAAGAUUAAAACUCAAAUGAAUUGACGGGGUCAUAGCUGUUUCCU
rnacentral:rRNA from 1 species